UAGACCAUAGACUGCUGGUUAUGUAUAUUUUGAUAAUCAUUAUCAUCGCAAGCAUAGCUGACGUUCAAACCUAGCUAGCUAACAUUUGCCUACUUCAAUACAACUCGGAUUUGGCUUGGAAACACGCUAACAUUUCAAGGGAAAUAAUUAGUAGGACAACCUUUUGUAAUUUGAUGCAGUAUAACUUUAGCCAGCUAAGAUUGAGGGGACCAUAAAAUUGUAGCUACCUAACGUUAGCAUUGCUAGCUAUUUUUGACAAACUUUGCUAGUAAAACAUUAAUGGCAACAUUGCCAUCUCGCAAACGUAAAUUUGACAACAUCAUAAUAUAGCAAAGUUGUUUCCUACUAAUGAUUUGCCUACUUUAGCAAUGUCAUCGUAUUUCCAUGCCACUAAAUUUAGUGUAAUUUAGACGAAACAGUCACAUUAGCUUCCGAGGUGCAACCCAUGUCUAGGGCACAAAUACAUAUUGGAUGCAGCUAUAGUGGUACUAGCUAACUCAUGUCUGACUACAACAGUGUACUAACUAGCAGGAACAAACUCAAACCAACCCAGGGCCAUAGCAAAACAUGUCACAGUUGGUUGCAUAGUGUCACCAGCCUGAAUCUAAUCCAAUCUGGAGCCAGUCAGUCUACAUUUGUAAAGUAUAGAAUUAGCUUCCAAACGAGAUUACGUUAUUUCUUGAACAAUGUUUAUAAUUGAGGGAUGAUGGCAAUCGUUGACCCUGUUUUUCUGUUAGACAAAGUGCACAGUUGGGUGCCAGACUGAUCCCCUGGUCAUGAACGGACACCAGGACCUACCAGAAGGAGCAAAGUUUGUCAGACAAGACCUCAGAAUAAUAUUGUGUCAUGCGACUCAAGUACCGUUGUGACACCUCUGUUGUUGCCAGAGUCUCCCUUGACUCCUAUUAAAAAGACACGCCAUCAUGAGGCCUCUGAUAGUGACCUGAGUUACUGCCCUGAUGACACAGACUGCUUCAUUAACAAUGACAGGCCCUCCCAGUCAACACCACCUCAUAAGAUUGCCUGCUGCAGUUGUUUGCAGCAUAGAAAAGACCAGCAAAGGGGUCCCUCAUCAGCAUCAUAGAAACAUGCCCUCGCAGUGAGCAUUCCUAUGAAUGGAACAGUCAGCCACAUGUUGGCAAGUAUCCAGCCAGCAACCUUCUUCACCUGUCAGCGGCAACAGCUUUCACAGGCUUUCAAGGGGCCAGGAGCUGAUCUACACUGCUAUGCCCAUCAAUGGAGCGCUGGCAAAGACCUCACCUCCAGCCUCACCUCGUGCCUUCUCACCGACGGUCGUCGAUGGAGAGAACAGAAUUAGUCUGACCUGUUCAAACUUCAACAUAGUAUAUGUUUGUGUGUCAAAUAUCACCUAUCCCUAACUGUCAUUGGUAAUAGAACAGUAUGUGUUCACAGAAACAAGUAUGGAGCCAGCCAUGGACACUUGCAAGAUGAUAUGAUGAAGUCCAGACUGCCUUGAAGAUUAACUGGAAAGUGUGGACCCCCUUCCAGUUCAUCAACAUCAACUAUGUGCCUGUACAGUUUCGAGUGCUGUUUGCCAAACUGGUGGCAUUAUUUUGGAAUACUUAACUUGCGUCUGUGAGGAAGUGAAGCCUCCCAAGAUCUUCUCCCAGAUGACUGAAUGAAGAGGGCACAGGGUGUGUGUGCCUCAGGAGCUACAUAAUGUUACAAGGGCUGGCCUGUGAAUGCCAGUGCAGCAAGCUGGUACAACCAGGCAAAUUAACUGGGGUGGUGUUUAUGACUUCGGUCAAACGCUACACACACUACACAAGGUGCUACACUAAUGAAAUCCUAACACAUUCAAUGUGUUGCUCACAUGCAAAAUAAUUUAUAAGUGAAAUGUUCAGUCUUAAUUGUUACUACUGAUAUUUAAAAUAUUGAAAUACUUGAGUAUGCUUCCUUUAUGCCAAGGUGUAUUUUGGUUUGAGCAAUGGUAAAUACAUGUUACCUAUUCUUGAUAGAUAUAAAUCUAUAUUUGUAUAAUUUAAGAUGAAGCAAAGCAAAUGUGCUGUAGGAAAUGAAUAAUAGUAACUGUUUCAACCUUGAAUCCAACUCAUUUAACACCAUCUGAAUAUGCAGUGUUUAAGAUUUAUCAGACCAUGAGACAUUGUAUAUUGCUGACAAGGCCAGCCUGUAGUUUCCUCAUGUGGACUGCCUUGUCUUAGUUUGAGUCAACUCAACUGCAAAUGUUACUGCUCUGUCUCUAUCAGGUCAAAUAAGGGAGCAAUAGCACAAUGUACAGGAAACUGCCAAAUUAUUUUAAAUUACUAUUACCUGAUGUAUAUGAUUUAACCCUGUUUUAUAAAUGACAUCUAGAACCAGUCCAGUA